rnacentral:rRNA from 1 species
ACUCAAAUGAAUUGACGGGGACCCGCACAACUGGUGGAGCGUGUGGUUUAAUUCGAGACAAAGCGAAAAACCUUACCAGGGCUUGACAUGUAACCGUUUUAUACCUUAGGAAACUUUGGUAGAUCCGCAAGGAUGGUUAUGCAGGUGAUGCAUGGCUGUCGUCAGCUCGUGUCGUGAGAUGUUCCCUUAAGUGGGGAAACGAGCGCAACCCCCGUGAAAUGUUAAAUAUUCAUUUCAGACGGUCCCGAUCAUAUCGGGAAGGAAGGAGGGGAAGACGUCAAGUCAGCACGUCCCUUAUGCCCUGGGUUACACACACCCUACAAUGGCGAACAACAAAGAGCCGCAAGCCGGUAACGGCAAGCAAAUCUCAGAAAUUUCGCCUCAGUUCAGAUUGAGGGCUGAAACCCGCCCUCAUGAAGGAGGAAUCAGUAGUAAUCGCAGAUCAGAAGGCUGCGGUGAAUACGUUCUCGGGUCUUGUACACACCGCCCGU